CGGCGAGUGAAGCGGUAACAGCUCAAAUUUGAAAGCUGGCUCUUGCAGGGCCCGCGUUGUAAUUUGCAGAAGAUGCUUCGGGUGCGGCCCCGGUCUAAGUUCCUUGGAACAGGACGUCAUAGAGGGUGAGAAUCCCGUAUGUGACUGGGCGCCUCCGCCCAUGUGAAGCUCUUUCGACGAGUCGAGUUGUUUGGGAAUGCAGCUCAAAAUGGGUGGUAAAUUUCAUCUAAAGCUAAAUAUUGGCCAGAGACCGAUAGCGCACAAGUAGAGUGAUCGAAAGAUGAAAAGCACUUUGGAAAGAGAGUUAAACAGUACGUGAAAUUGUUGAAAGGGAAGCGCUUGCAACCAGACUUGCGCGCAGGUGAUCAUCCGGGCUUCUGCCCGGUGCACUCGCCUGCGCUCAGGCCAGCAUCGGUUUCGGUGGUGGGAUAAAGGCCCUGGGAACGUAGCUCCCCUCGGGGAGUGUUAUAGCCCUCGGUGCAAUGCCGCCUACCGGGACCGAGGACCGCGCUUCGGCUAGGAUGCUGGCGUAAUGGUUGUAAGCGACCCGUCUUGAAACACGGACCAAGGAGUCUAACAUCUAUGCGAGUGUUGGGUGUCAAACCCAUACGCGUAAUGAAAGUGAACGGAGGUGAGAACCCUGAAGGGUGCAUCAUCGACCGAUCCUGAUGUCUUCGGAUGGAUUUGAGUAAGAGCAUAGCUGUUGGGACCGAAAGAUGGUGAACUAUGCGUGAAUAGGGUGAAGCCAGAGGAAACUCUGGUGGAGGCUCGCAGCGGUUCUGACGUGCAAAUCGAUCGUCAAUUUGCGUAUAGGGGCGAAAGACUAAUCGAACCAUCCGGAUGGCCUUCAUGUAAACUGCAGCGCUAGGUGGUUAAGAGGUAUCAAAAAGAGAUACCUAGUCUUAUGUUUGUAAGGCUACACUAUCCAAUUGUUCGGGGACGCCUCGCAGAAGUAAGCUACCGCCGCCCCGUCGAAAGGCUGGGUGCGCACCGGGGUAACGACCUAGGGUACGGUAAUAACGCUUAUGGAGAGACAACCCGCAGCUAAGCCCUAAGGGUUCUAAGCUUAGCUUACGAAUCUACGGGUCGAGUUCACAGACUAAAUGGUAGUGGGCUCUCUUAGAGCUUAAGAUAUAGUCGAACCGCCGAGUGAUCGGUCGAUAGGGAGGAACCUACUCGCACAAACAGCUUUCAAGCGCUUGUUAGGGGAGAGACCUAUCGGAGGCAUUAUUAUGCCUCGGAGAGUGAAAGUCCGUGAGGUUACUACACGUUUUAACGAGAGACGGGGCCAGUUUGGGCCGUCUCAGGAGUAAAAUAUAGUAGCC
rnacentral:rRNA from 1 species